rnacentral:rRNA from 1 species
AACGAGGGCCCAGAGCUUGCUCUGGAGACCCGAGUGGCGAACGGGUGAGUAACACGUGACCAACCUGUCCUAGGGUGGGGGACAACCUGGGGAAACCCGGGCUAAUACCCCAUGAUGUCCCGUCAUCGCAUGUCGAUGGGAUCAAAGGGGGCCUCUGCUUGCAAGCUCUCGCCCAAGGAGGGGGUCGCGACGUAUCAGCUUGUUGGUGGGGUAACGGCCUACCAAGGCUACGACGCGUAGCGGGUCUGAGAGGACGACCCGUCACAUUGGGACUGAGAUACGGCCCAGACUCCUACGGGAGGCAGCAGUGGGGAAUAUUGCGCAAUGGACGAAAGUCUGACGCAGCGACGCCGCGUGUGGGAGGAAGCCCUUCGGGGUGUAAACCACUGUCAGAGGGGAAGAACCCCGCCGGUCUGAAUAGGGUCGGCGGCUGACGGUACCCUCAGAGGAAGCGCCGGCUAACUCCGUGCCAGCAGCCGCGGUAAGACGGAGGGCGCAAGCGUUGUUCGGAAUUACUGGGCGUAAAGGGCGGGCGGGCGGUCUGUUAAGUCGUUUGUGAAAAUCCGGGGCUCAACCCCGCGAAAUGCAGACGAUACUGGCAGACUAGAGACCGGUAGAGGCUAGCGGAAUUCCUGGUGUAGCGGUU